GCAGGGCCGCGACCAUGCCCUGGAGCGAGUUAUCAGGGCUCGGGGAUUGUACACGUAGGUGACAAGCCCUGCACACAAACUAGGUUCCUCCUUACCGAGCACAGGAAAGGGAGUGCUCGACUCCAGAGUUUCCACUGAUGAGGGAAGGCAUCAGGGAGUCUCCAGAGAAAAGACUUUCCGAAACCGGUACUAAAGCCAAUGCAGACAUUCCUCACCCAGAGAACCAGGACGUUCAUGGAGUAAGUGACCCUCAGAGGCAUGAGAUGAUGAAACUUACAUGAAAGCGAAGUACAGUCGUAAAGGGCCAACAACUGUGAGUGUGUCAGAUGACUGCAGAGCGAGG
rnacentral:lncRNA from 1 species